CCGCUACCUACCGCGGCUCCUACAGCUCCAUGGGCCGCGGCCGGAGCAGCUCUGAGCGCUCCGUUCGCCCCACGGUGCCCUUAAAAGGCGCUGGCAAGAACCAACCGGCCUUUGAGGAGAGUAAGGGGAUCGCGUCUAUUCGCAGAAUCCCCCGGAACCUGCCGAAGAGGCCCGAGCCCUACGUGGUGUCUCCCUUAAUCUUUUUCAGAAUAGUGCCGUCGGAAAGGAGCCUAGAGCUGUGGUUUGGGGACCGGAGUGUCUCCUCACUAACUAAUCACCCCCUCCAAAAUAUCGUAGAAAGUGGACAGGCCCAGUUGGAAGCAUAUCACGAAGCCCGUAGGGGAAGCCAUGUCGGAUAAAGCCACCUUUCUGCAAGCAUCCCCCCACCUUCCCCCGGCAAGGACUGAUCCUCGGCGUGAAGGCUGCUGGGAAAUGUAGUCCAAGCGCCGGUCAAGGCCUGCUCUGAGUACCCGGAGCCCCUCUUCUAGCUGCCGGAUCUACUAUAGCUUUUAUAAACCUGAGAUUUAUAACGGUU